UGUUUUUGUUGUUGAGGUUUAGUUUUUUAUUUUUGUAGAUACAAAAGCGACCUGCAAAAGAAAGAGGAAACAAGUGCACUACACGCAGAGACGAGAAUAAAAGAGAAUCAAGUGCAGGUUUAGUUUUUUAUUUUUGUAGAUACAAAAGCGACCUGCAAAAGAAAGAGGAAACAAGUGCACUACACGCAGAGACGAGAAUAAAAGAGAAUCAAGUGCAGGUUUAGUUUUUUAUUUUUGUAGAUACAAAAGCGACCUGCAAAAGAAAGAGGAAACAAGUGCACUACACGCAGAGACGAGAAUAAAAGAGAAUCAAGUGCACUGCAUGCCACUCAUUCCCUUGUGAUGUAUACCUCUUUUAUUUGUUGGUUGUGGUGUGUGAAGUAUUAGUGUUGUUUUGAAGAAGCCCUGGAGAACCCGUUGCUCAAUGACCUCACCAUGGUUCACUUUGUGAGAAGAAUGUACACACGAGUUUACUCCUUUAUAAAAAAAUUAAGGAGUUGUCUUUUGCAUUGUUUUAUGGACUUGUUUGUUAUCUGCUGAAAAUCGAUGCAGUUCAUUG
rnacentral:lncRNA from 1 species